UACGAAGGGGGCUAGCGUUGCUCGGAAUCACUGGGCGUAAAGGGUGCGUAGGCGGGUUUUUAAGUCAGGGGUGAAAUCCUGGAGCUCAACUCCAGAACUGCCUUUGAUACUGAAGAUCUUGAGUCCGGGAGAGGUGAGUGGAACUGCGAGUGUAGAGGUGAAAUUCGAUAGAUAUUAGGAAGAACACCAGUGGCGAAGGCGGCUCACUGGCCCGGUACUGACGCUGAGGCGCGAAAGCGUGGGGAGCAAACAGG
rnacentral:rRNA from 1 species